UGCCAGAGUUGCCACUGCUUGCUUAUAAGGGAAUCAUGUGUGUUGCCUUUUUGCCUUUUCCGACGUCCUCCUCCGACUGUACUCCCGAUCCCAGGACUGAACUUACGGGAAGGAGUGCUUCCAAGAUGGGAGACGAAGAAGAAGAAGCCGCUGAAUCCGGCGGCAAUGGCUGGGAUGCUGCGUUCUCGAGAGGAAGCGUUAUUUCUGCAUUCCAAGAAGGACGGCACAAUGUGUCGGACUGUCCGCGUCGCAUUGAACUGGUCCGAUGAGGCUGCUAUUGCACACACAGUGAGGGAACUCCCAUACGGGAACUCGGAAGUACUGCUACAGUACAGGUAUAUCACCCCGUGACGACCACAUCGAAGUCUGAAAUUGAAGUGUGAAGAUGCUUCAGCAACCCCUUCAUAUUUUUCCAUUGCUUUUAUUGUGCUUCUACUGUGCAUGUGUGUAACUUGUGGGGUAUGCAUGUGAUGACAAUGUAUGCCGGUGACACGGUCAGAUUUUGUCCAUGCGUGUAACGUACACCUGCAUGCUAUCGUUGAAAAGGAUCUGCCACUUACGAUCUUCGGACGAGUAUCAGGUCAGCUUGGUUUUGUGUGGGCUGUACCAGAUGCUGUUCACUUCUCUAUCUGUUGGAUAUGUGACUUUCUGCAAGUUUCUGGUGUAUGGUGGCCACUUCUUUGCUUGUCUUUGUAUGACAUUACAAUAAUUCUGUAUUCACUGCUUCCAUGGUAUGGUCUGUAAACUGCAAUCCUUAGGCAAAUAUCAUCACGGUUUGCAAUGUUGUGCUUUGGCCGCCAGCUUACCUACACAUUGUAGUUGAAUUAUUUUUGUUUCACAACUGACUUCCUGAAGUAUGGUGGCCACUGCUUUGCAUGGCAUUAUACAA